UAGGGAAUCUUCCGCAAUGGACGCAAGUCUGACGGAGCAACGCCGCGUGAGUGAAGAAGGAUUUCGGUUCGUAAAACUCUGUUGUUAGAGAAGAACAGCGCAUAGAGUAACUGUUAUGCGUGUGACGGUAUCUAACCAGAAAGCCACGGCUAACUACGUGCCAGCAGCCGCGGUAAUACGUAGGUGGCAAGCGUUGUCCGGAUUUAUUGGGCGUAAAGCGAGCGCAGGCGGUCAAUUAAGUCUGAUGUGAAAGCGCCCGGCUCAACCGGGGAGGGUCAUUGGAAACUGGUUGACGUGAGUGCAGAAGAGGAGAGUGAAAUUCCAUGUGUAGCGGUGAAGUGCGUAGAUAUAUGGGAGAACACCAGUGGCGAAGACGACUCUCUGGUCUGUAACUGACGCUGAGGCGCGAAAGCGUGGGUAGCAAACAGG
rnacentral:rRNA from 1 species